UGGGGAAUAUUGGACAAUGGGGGCAACCCUGAUCCAGCGAUGCCGCGUGUGUGAAGAAGGCCUGCGGGUUGUAAAGCACUUUAGUUGGGGAGGAAAGGUAUGUACUGCAUAAGUGCAUGCUGUGACGUUACCCAAAGAAUAAGCACCGGCAAACUCUGUGCCAGCAGCCGCGGUAAUACGAAGGGGGACUAGCGUUGUUCGGAAUCACUGGGCGUAAAGCGCACGUAGGCGGAUUUGUAAGUCAGGGGUGAAAUCCCGGGGCUCAACCUCGGAACUGCCUUUGAUACUGCGGAUCUCGAGUCCGAUAGAGGUGAGUGGAAUUCCUAGUGUAGAGGUGAAAUUCGUAGAUAUUAGGAAGAACACCGGUGGCGAAGGCGGCUCACUGGAUCGGUACUGACGCUGAGGUGCGAAAGCAUGGGGAGCGAACAGGAUUAGAUACCCCGGUAGUCCCUGAGCGGGCUGGCAAGGCGCAU
rnacentral:rRNA from 1 species